UGGGGGGCAGCCGUCCAAUGCCUGCUCGAACAGAUCCCUGGCCCUCUCCAGCUUCCUGCCGCCGUAACGCGCCACGAACUUGCUCAGGUAGGUGUGCCACACGUCCGCCACGUUGGGCCACCGGAACAGCGCCACGCCGCGCUCGUACGCCUGCACCGCCACGGGCACCAUGGGCACCGGGGGCACCGGGGGCACCGGGGGCACCGGGGGGCGCCAGUGGGGCACCGUUGGGGCACCAUUGGGGCACUAUUGGGGCACUUUGUGGCAGCACUGGGGCACCUUUGGGUCACUUUGUGGCAUCAUUGGGGCACCUUUGGGUCACUCUGUGGCACCACUGGGGCACCUUUGGGUCACUUUGUGGCACCACUGGGGCACCAUUGGGUCACUUUGUGCCACCACUGGGGCACCAUUGGGUCACUUUGUGGCACCAUUGGGGCACCAUUGGGUCACUUUGUGCCACCACUGGGGCACCUUUGGGUCACUUUGUGGCACCAUUGGGGCACUACUGGGUCACUUUGUGGCACCAUUGGGGCACCAUUGGGUCACUUUGUGCCACCACUGGGUCACUUUGUGGCAUCACUGGGGCACCAUUGGGUCACUAUUGGGUCGCUUUGUGGCACCAUUGGGGCACUAUUGGCUCACUUUGUGGCACCACUGGGGCACCACUGGGGCACCAUUGGGUCACUUUGUGGCAGCACUGGGGCACCACUGGGGCACUUUGUGGCACCACUGGGGCACCACUGGGGCACCAUUGGGUCACUUUGUGGCACCACUGGGUCACUUUGUGGCACCACUGGGGCACCACUGGGGCACUUUGUGGCACCACUGGGUCCCUACUGGA
rnacentral:lncRNA from 1 species